GGGUCUCUUUGACUUUUAGGUUUCUCCUUUAAGAUUGGUGUUGACCCAUGGAUUGAUUUUGAUGAUGCCAUAAUACUUAUGUAAUACUAAUACAAGCUCAAGGUUAUGCUUAAAAGGAAUUUCUCAAUGCUCAAGGUUUGCAACCUUAAUCAAGAAGAAGCCCUCUUCAAAUUAACCCAAGAAGUUAACCAAGAUUUCUUAGGAUAAGGGAUGGAAGAGGAGUCGACUCCAGAACACUUGAGCAAACUCUAACAUGGCUAAAGAAAAAUUUGUACAGCUCAUGAGUCAACUUUAGUACAUCUCGAGUCAACUCUAGUAGAAUAAGGGUCAACUCCAAUAGAAAAAGAGUCAAUCCCAAAAUGAUCUCAAGGUAUAGAUAGAAAGCAAUGAAAAAAGAUAUGAACUCAAGUCAACCUCAAUACAUCUUGAGUCAACUCGAUGAGAACAAGAGUCAACCCCAAUAGAAUAAGAGGAAAGCUUAGAUUGAUCUUAGGAUGAAGGUAGAAAGUAGUUAAAAUUGAUCAGUUCGAAUUGAUCCUAGUUUCUCAUGGCAACUCCAACUUUAGAAGAGUUGACCCUAAUAGCAGUUGAAUUAAUUCUUAAAUGACCACAGUCAGAAGAUAGAGAACUAUCCUGAGACGCUAUAUAUCACAAGUCAACUCUUGAAGAAGACACGUCGAUCCCUGACAUAUAUGAGUCAAUUCCUGA
rnacentral:lncRNA from 1 species